CGGAUCGCGGCGACGCCGGCGGUUCGCCGCCGGUGACGUUGUGAGAAGUUCAUUAAACCUUAUCAUUUAGAGGAAGGAGAAGUCGUAACAAGGUUUCCGUAGGUGAACCUGCGGAAGGAUCAUUGCACACACAAGUUG
rnacentral:rRNA from 1 species